UACGGGGGGAGCAAGCGUUGUUCGGAUUUACUGGGCGUAAAGGGCGGGUAGGCGGCCACCGCAAGUCAGUUGUGAAAUCUCUGGGCUUAACCCAGAAAGGUCAACUGAUACUGCGGGGCUAGAGUGCAGAAGGGGCAACUGGAAUUCUCGGUGUAGCGGUGGAAAUGCGCAGAUAUCAGGAAGAACACCCGUGGCGAAGGCGGCGCCUCUGGGACGGUACUGACGCUGAGACGCGAAAGCGUGGGAGCGAACAGG
rnacentral:rRNA from 1 species